GGGCCAAUGGUCUAGGGGUAUGAUUCUCGCUUUGGGUGCGAGAGGUCGGGGGUUCGAAUCCCCCUUGGCCCC
rnacentral:tRNA from 1 species